UACAGAGGGGGCAAGCGUUAUUCGGAAUUAUUGGGCGUAAAGGGCGCGUAGGCGGUUCUUCAAGUCUCUCGUGAAAUCCCUCGGCUUAACUGAGGACGUGCGGGAGAUACUGAAGGGCUUGAGUCCGGAAGAGGGUGGUGGAAUUCCCAGUGUAGCGGUGAAAUGCGUAGAUAUUGGGAGGAACACCGGUGGCGAAGGCGGCCACCUGGGCCGGAACUGACGGCUGAGGCGCGAAAGCGUGGGGAGCAAACGGG
rnacentral:rRNA from 1 species